rnacentral:misc_RNA from 1 species
UCACCGCUUACACGGGCAGUUUCCCUAGAGUUCCCGGCAUUACCCGCUGGCAACUAGGGAUGGGGGUUGCGCUCGUUAUGGGACUUAACCCGACACCUCACGGCACGAGCUGACGACAGCCAUGCAGCACCUGUGCUGGCUGCCCUUGCGGGCUCAUUACCGUUUCCGGUUCUUACAACUAGCAUGUCAAGCCUGGGUAAGGUUCUUCGCGUUGCGUCGAAUUAAACCACGUGCACCACCGCUUGUGCGGGCCCCCGUCAAUUCCUUUGAGUUUCAGCCUUGCGGCCGUACUCCCCAGGCGGGGUACUUAUUGCGUUAGCGACGGCACCGAAGGGGUCGCUCCCCCCGGCGCCUAGUACCCAUCGUUUACGGCGUGGACUAC